AUUUCUAGAGAUAGAAAGUUACUUCGGUACAUCGGUGACAGGUGGUGCAUGGUUGUCGUCAGCUCGUGUCGUGAGAUGUUGGGUUAAGUCCCGCAACGAGCGCAACCCCUAUUGUUAGUUUGCCAUCAUUCAGUUGGGCACUCUAGCGAGACUGCCGGUAAUAACCGGAGAAGUGGGGAUGACGUCAAAUCAUCAUGCCCCUUAUGACCUGGGCUACACACGUGCUACAAUGGUUGGUACAACGAGUUGCGAGUCGGUGACGGCGAGCUAAUCUCUUAAAGCCAAUCUCAGUUCGGAUUGUAGGCUGCAACUCGCCUACAUGAAGUCGGAAUCGCUAGUAAUCGCGGAUCAGCACGCCGCGGUGAAUACGUUCCCGGGCCUU
rnacentral:rRNA from 1 species